rnacentral:rRNA from 1 species
CAAGGCUGAAACUCAAAGGAAUUGACGGGGGCCCGCAUAAGCGGUGGAGCAUGUGGUUCAAUUCGACGCAACGCGAAGAACCUUACCCAGGCUUGAACAGCGAGUGAUCCGCGACGAAAGUCGCCUCCCGCAAGGGCACUCGUAGAGGUGCUGCAUGGCUGUCGUCAGCUCGUGUCGUGAGAUGUUGGGUUAAGUCCCGCAACGAGCGCAACCCUUGUUUGCUGUUGCCAUCACGUUAUGGUGGGCACUCUGCAAAGACUGCCGGUGAUAAACCGGAGGAAGGUGGGGAUGACGUCAAGUCAGCAUGGCCUUUAUGUCUGGGGCUACACACGUGCUACAAUGGCCGGUACAAACCGUCGCGAUACCGCAAGGUGGAGCUAAUCGGAGAAAGCCGGUCUCAGUUCGGAUAGCAGGCUGCAAGGAGGCCUGCUUGAAGUUGGAAUCGCUAGUAAUCGCGGAUCAGCACGCCGCGGUGAAUACGUUCCCGGGC